GGCAUCACUGCAAAAAAAAAAAAAAAAAACGUUUUGGAAACGGUAUUUUUAAAAGUGUAGCGCACAGGUCAGGUUUAUUCAUCAUACAAUGAUCACUACUCCUGAAAAUGCUCCUGAUGUUGCCUACACCCAGGGUAUAAAAGGAAGUUUGUAACUCAUUGUGCAUUUUCCCAGAGCUGGAGAAUUUUUGAGAAUUUAUUCCUGUAGUGGGCGGUAGAGAGUUCCUUUUCUGGGGGGCCGUGGCUUGAGCUUGAGGCGUCUGUGACAUUCGUCCAGCAAUGUGACAGUAAAGCGUUCCCAAUUUUGAGCCUCUCCUGUUUUUUUUGGCCGAGCGGACUGUGAUCUUAUUGGUUGAAUUUUUCUUUUUCGUUUUCCUGUCCCACCUAAACCCUUCCAUGUGACUGGAUGUGAGGGUGGGCGGAGCUAAGGAGCACAGUUCUUACUAUGUUCCAUAAUAAAAUAGACUAAAUCAUUUGUACAUCAGCUGGCGUGGAGUCUUUAUUCAAGAAACAACAAUGAAUCAUUUGCAAGUCAGUACGACUGAAUUUAUCACCACACAAGAAAUGGACUUUUUCUGUUUCAUGGAGGAAAGAAAGUCUGGUUUGGAACAACAUGUGGGAAGGACACAAGCAUUCUCUGCUCUGACAUGAUAUUUCCUGGAAAAAGGGAAUCCAGACACACUGAAUGUACCAGCAGCCCCAGGACAGAUGGAGAGAGAGAGAACUGACAGAGAAAGAAAAGGGGGAGACAGGGUGAGAAAAUAAAAGAGGGAUGGGAAGUGAAUGUGAAAAUGUGAAGCAUUUGAGAGGAGAAAGAGGUGCUGAAAUAUCUACAUUUGACAGACAAGAGAAAGGAUUAAAGAAAUGGAUGAGAAACAAAGGAAGAAAUGAAUUCCUGUCAAACAAGGACAUAAAAAUACUAAUUAUAUAUUAUUUUCUGCUGUAUAUAUUAAUUUGAAUAGCCAUAUUUUCUUAAAUGAACAGUUCAGAAUGAUGAUGACAUGCCAUGCUAAUUUUUAGUGAUGUCAUUUGUUCUCAUGUGUCACAUGAUCAAGCACCAAACCAUAAGUCUGAAUAUA